UGACGGAGGAGCUUGCUCCUCCUGAUUAGUGGCGAACGGGUGAGUAAUACGUGAGCAAUGUGCCCUUGACUCUGGGAUAAGCGCUGGAAACGGCGUCUAAUACCGGAUACGACGAUCGGAGGCAUCUCCUGGUCGUGGAAAGAACUUCGGUCAAGGAUCAGCUCACGGCCUAUCAGUUAGUUGGUGAGGUAAUGGCUCACCAAGACGACCACCGGUAGCCGGGCUGAGAGGGUGACCGGCCACACUGGGACUGAGACACCGCCCCGACUCCUACCGGAGGCAGCAGUGGGGAAUAUU
rnacentral:rRNA from 1 species